rnacentral:pre_miRNA from 1 species
GAAUGCAUUCCGUAUGGAAGACUAGUGAUUUUGUUGUUUGGUCUUUAAUAAAAUUAACAAUAAAUCCCUUGUCUUCUUAUGGCGUGUAUUU